rnacentral:lncRNA from 1 species
AUGUUUCACACUGAAAAAAAUACCUAGUAAAUAUUACUAGUUUGGCUAGUACUUCAUUAAAAGUCCCUAGUAGAUUAUCAAACAACUAAUUAGACUAGUAUGUUUACUAUCGUGGAUGCAUCGUAUUACCAGGAACCAGCUGUGCAACUGAUAACAGGAUUUCCCGCCGGACGAUAUCAUAUUCGCGUGGCCAAGUUCUGUUGUACAUGAAGUGAUGGCCGCAAUCAAACGAAUAAAGAACCUGAGUGAUUUUUGGCCUGAUUCAUUGAAAAGCUGUAAGUAUUUUAACUAAUUUGUGUUUUAUUUUAUCGUCUUAACUUGUUUACACAAAAAAAAGAACCACAUCAUCUCGCCUUUCACGUAAAAUAAAAUGUACUACAGAAGAUGGUCAAGAUAACCUUGUGACACGUGGAACAAACUUUAUCUAUUUAAGUUAAGAUUUACAAGAUGCAGAUUUCGUUAUUCUAAUAUUAACACCUUUCUUCUUUUUUUUAAUACGUUUCUUUUUUUAAUACGAAAACUAAUUAAUAAUCCUUCUAUUUCACCACAGAAAACCGUAACUUAAAUCCGAAACGUUUUAUGAUUAUAUAAUUAAAGUGCGCCUCGUUAUGAAAUUAAUAUGGCUGCGCCCAUGUAGUGAAAAAUAUGAACCUGCCAAAACUAACACAGUCAAUACAUGGUAUAUCUUCAAUAUUUUCACAUCAAAUAUGAAAUUGAGAAACAUUUGAAAGCACCACAGAAUGUACUUGAUGACAUACAUGCACCAUGUAGGUGUACACUUGCAUCUUGACUCUGAGUGCACAAAUGCAUUCUAAUUUCAAACAAGUAAUAGCUUUUCUAAAAAGCUAGCCGUCUCUUAGCUUCAGGAUGAAAGUAGAAAGUGUUAAAAUUCAUAAAGGCUAAUACAAUUUUUCCUAAUUUACUAAUGUUUUUUUGGGAUAAUUUACCAACACUGGAUUAGAAAGGGUGAUGCCUUAACUGUUUUUUUUAAUUAAAUAUGAAAAUAUUUAUAAAAGUAUAUUUUAAACAUGGCUCUGGGAUAAUUAUUGUUUUUGCCAGUAUUUUAACUCUCUGUAUAGCAGUAUAAUUGUAGAUUUAAUAUUAAUGCAUACAUAUUACACUCGUUAAUGUCUUACUUGAAAUACUACAGUUAUGCAUUAUAAAAGCUAAAAAAAAAAAAAAAGCAUAAAUGUAAAUUUCAGUGUGUAUCUAUAUAUAUGUCUGACAUGAUGACUCACCUAUCACACACAUAAUAAGAAACAAAGUGAAAUAUAGUUUUUUUAAAUACAAUGUAUUAGUAGAAAUUGACAGUAGAGUUCUAGUUAAUCUAUAUUAAUUAAUAUUGACAACACUACAUGUAGUUUUAUUAUGGAUUUUUGUAUAAUUUCAGGUUCUGAAAAAAUCACAGGGGAUGAUAAAUUUAGACAAGAAGGAUCGACCACCAACAUGCUACACUUACUGGAACUUGAAAAACCUGCAAUUCACAAGAACAAGCCAAAGACUAGUAUUACCGUACAAAGUGGUUGAGGGUAUGGUCCCAGCUAUCCAAACCUGACAAAUUAUUGGUAACAAGCAAUCUUUACCAAAAAGGAACAUCAAGCCGACACACGCUUUGCAGACUUUGAAAGUGAUAAUUUAUAAAUUUGGUUAAGGCUAUUGAAACAACAAACUGUGAAAACGAGCA